CAGACAGAGCACAAACUGCCCCAGAGAAAUGUGGGGACAGGACGGGGUGCCCAGCAGAGGGCACUGCUGCCACACCCACCUCCCACAGCCUUGCUGAGCAUCCUCCUCCAGGAGGGCCCCUGGGCCAGGGAGCUCUGCAGGCGUGGAGGGGUGACAGGAGAGCCCCACCCAGGACUGGAGAGCAGCCCCAGAGCUCCUACUGCUGGUCCUGUGGUAACAGCAGUGCUGGGAUCCUUCCCAUGGGGACCUGCAUCAGCCCCAGACUCCUCUGUGUGACUCUUUGUCUCCUGGGAACAGGCCUCAUGGAUGCUGGGGUCACCCAGAAGCCUAGACACCUUAUUGUACACGCAGGAAAAAAGACGACUCUGAAGUGUUCUCAGAACAUGAACCAUAAUGCAAUGUUCUGGUACCGACAAGAUCCAGGAGAGGGACUGAGGCUGCUCCAUUACUCAGGCAGUGUUGGCAACUCUGCUGAGGGAGAAGCCUCCCAAGGGUUCAGUGUCUCCAGGAACGAGAUGGAGCACUUCCCCCUGACCCUGGAGACCCCCAGCACCAGCCAGUCCUCCCUGUACCUCUGUGCCAGCAGUGAAGCCACAGCAGUGCACAGCCAGCUGCUCUCUGCACAAGAAGGGCAGCCACAGGGUUCAGGUGGACCCUCCUUCCAGGGCCCCUGUCUCAACAGCAGCCAGACCUGUCCCGAAGCUGCUCCAAGACUCCCAGCAUUGGGAUCUCAGCCCUAUGGGCCUGGUGCAGCAUGGACCUAG